rnacentral:lncRNA from 1 species
UGAAUUAAUGUUUUCCCUUCUGGACUGUAAUUGACAGAAAGCCACUGCACCAGGAGGUCAGCCCAUGGCAGCUGGAAGUGCCUCCAUCUCUUUCUCAGGUUCCAUCCACUCAGGAUAUGCAGAAGGAGGCAGAGAGUCUCUCCACCCUAUACAGUUUCUCACAGAUACCCAAGACAUUCCUGCCUCCUUUUAAGGGAUCAGCUGGCCUGGUUUUACCAUCAAAAAUCAACAGUCCUUACAGUUUUAAUAACGAUGAGAAUAUUUCUGAGGACACUCAUAGUGGCAGCAAUAGAAGAUCUGACGACUUUUGGGGAGGUGAAGGGUUCAGGGAUGACUCUAAUGGUGCCUGCCAAAGUGGAGAUGAAACCUUGCAGGACUCUGGUCAUGCAGCCAUCAGCAGGAAGGGUUUGUCUCUGGACUGCAGCAGAAGCCCACCUCUACGGAGAAGCUUGUUCAAGGUUCAGGUGUUGAACAGUGGAGGUGACUCGUCCAACACAGAUGACCUCAGAAGCAACAGCAGCAGCAGCCAGACAGCAUCCAGACCUCAAACUUUUCUCAGUCCGGUUACCAUGGCGACAGUGCCUCCUCCUCUUCAGCCGCCACGGGCGACAGUUAGCCAGGCAGCUCCUCCUUUCUCCCCCUUCCCACCCCCUCCUCUGGGCUCAUCUGCAGCGAGCGGCCGACCCCCGCAGAAGGCGGCACAUGCUGAGAUGCAGGGCACAAAGAGAGCCUUCGUUCCGCCCAUGACGCCGCAGCCGCUUCACAUACAAGGUGCUGCACUGCAUUG